GUUACUUCCCCAGAGCGGCUGAUGUCAAUCUAAGGAGGGAAAUAGAUUUUGAGAGUUCGGAGUUCACACCAGCUGACUGGAUGCUGAACUGAACUGGGAAUUAUUGUGUGAAUGUUUGCUUCAUUCCAGACUCUUGGUCUGGACCGCCGCUCCUUCCUUUCGACAUGUUUGACUGGACUCCAGCUUUUGGAGACUUGAACGCGUCCAGGAGUCGCUGGAGCAGCUCGAGGUCGAGUUUCUCUGCAGGACUGGCACCAGACGCUGGAUCACUGCACCGAAAUGAUGGAAAAAUGUUCAUGUCAGCAGAAGACAGCAAAGGAAUGUCCUCACUCGCUGAUCCUGGAGCUAUCCAUCAGGAACUGAAACCAAACAGAGAAAGUCAACAGGACGACGACGGGCUGAAGGAUUUCUGCUGGGGGGCUCCAGAGUCACAGACAAGUCCUGAC